rnacentral:hammerhead_ribozyme from 1 species
GCACUGUUGAGGGGUCCCACAAUAGGACGAAACGGCCUUCCAGUGU